rnacentral:tRNA from 1 species
CCCCUGGUGGCUCAGACGGUAAAGCAUCUGCCUGCAAUGCGGGAGACCCGGGUUCGAUCCCUGGGUUGGGAA